UGCAAGUCGAACGCUCUCGACCUUCGGGUCACCUGAGGGAGUGGCGAACGGGUGCGUAACACGUGAGGAACCUACCCGAAGUCGGGAAUAGCCCGAGGAAACUCGGAUUAAUACCCGAUAUCUUCACCGGACCGCAUGGUCUGGUGAAGAAAGUUCCGGCGCUUCGGGAGGGCCUCGCGGCCUAUCAGCUUGUUGGUGAGGUAACGGCUCACCAAGGCAUCGACGGGUAGCUGGUCUGAGAGGACGAUCAGCCACACUGGGACUGAGACACGGCCCAGACUCC
rnacentral:rRNA from 1 species